rnacentral:rRNA from 1 species
AUUGAACGCUGGCGGCAGGCUUAACACAUGCAAGUCGAGCGAGCGGCGGACGGGUGAGUAAUGUCUGGGAAACUGCCUGAUGGAGGGGGAUAACUACUGGAAACGGUAGCUAAUACCGCAUACUAUCAGAUGUGCCAAGAUGGGAUUAGCUAGUAGGUGGGGUAAUGGCUCACCCAGGCGACGAUCCCUAGCUGGUCUGAGAGGAGGACCAGCCACACGGGAACGGCGACACGGUCCAGACUCCUACGGGAGGCAGCAGUGGGGAAUAUUGCACAAGGGGCGAAGUCCGGAUGCAGCCAUGCCGCGGAGGUGAAGAAGGCCUUCGGGUUGUAAAGCACUUUCAGCGAGGAGGCGUUACUCGCAGAAGAAGCACCGGCUAACUCCGUGCCAGCAGCCGCGGUAAUAC